rnacentral:ncRNA from 1 species
UCUUGAGAUCCGGUUUGCAGCCCUAGCUACCCGGACAGCAACCCUCUCACCGUAGUGGGGUGCUCUAGGUGAUGAUUCGGCCCGACGAAAAUCGUGGGCAAGUACGG